UGAUGGGUUGGCAGAAUAGUGCGGUUGGUUUAGGACCUUCAUAUGGAUUUUAUUCACCUGUUAU
rnacentral:tRNA from 1 species